AGAAAACUGGCAUCUCUCUUCUCCACCUUCAUACAGAUAGUGGUGUUUAUGCUCCAGGCAUGCUUUUAAACACACUAAGUCAGUCCUUUAUUGAAGCAGCUGUGAGAAUGCUCCUUGUAGACCUCUACAGAAAAUGUAAUUGGCCUAGAGCCCCAGCUGCUGCACUCUGAAAUCCAUCACCGUAUGUAUAGUGAGAUCAUACUUCCUGAGCUGUUGCCAGUGGAUGACUGAAGUGAUAGGGAUACUAAGGCAGGCCUACUCCUGGGAGACCUGGGACUUCUCUAAUAGGCAAUUUUGGAUUCAGAGAUACCCCAAAGGCCUUGUUCGACAUUCCUUAGGUCACCUAUCUGUGAUGCCUCCACCCAAUUUGCCUGCCCGUGGUGCGCCACGGUCUGUCAGCUCCCCUGCCGCCCCUAGAUUCCUGCGCCUUUUCUCUAACAGGUGAUUACUCUAAUAUAACCCAGUCACAUUGAAUCCUGGCUUGUAGUCUGCUUCUUAAAGGACCCAAAUUAACCCACCCCUUCACCAGAUUUAUUUGACUGGGUCUGCAUGUUUGUAGCCUCCUGUAUAUUUGAGGCCCUUACUGUGACUACUCACUGGCAUUUUCACUUGUGAAUUCCUUCUGACGUCUUUACCCCACGACACUUGAGUGCUUUCUGCAUGACUGUACUGUGAAGUAGUUGGCCACUGGUAAACCAUCUCUAGCUUCACAUUAACAGACCCAGAGAUGCUCUAUCUGCCUCUAAAACACACAGUGGCUGUCCCAUGAGCACUCACUUCUCCGAAUGUAUGCCUCCAGCAGUGCAGGGCAUUAUGGCCCUUCUGAAUAAGUCCAGCAAUUGCCUAUACAGGCUUUAGGAGCCUGAUCUUGAGUGCUGUGGAUCUGAGAAGACUAUUCCAAUCCUAAGCAGUUCCAAGAGGAUUUUCCCUGACCCUCCAGCCCUCUUCUGCCACAAAAUGGCUCUCUAUUCAUUCUAAAAUGGACCAGAAAGCAGAAGGAUUGCCCUUGUUUGAAAAAUAAUGCCCUUGUUUGAGGAGUCCAGGCCAAGUAACUUCAUGCAGAAGGGAAGCUUCACCAUUUGGACAGGAGCUGAGCAGAUGUGACCUCAAUGUCUGCACUGCAUUAAAGCUUCGGUGUAAAUCUGAUGACCUCAUCUCCCCACAGCCUGUGAUUAAUUCUAUUUAUAAAAUACAGCUCAGCAGAUCAAAGUUAAUCCUUUCCAUGCCAAGUGGGGAGUACACAGUGAUGGGUCACUCUGUCAAAGGGUAGGAAACUAAAUCAGGCUGCUGUUCUUCAUCACGGAGUAGGAUACAGGGCUUUUACCUUCAAGAGGAAAGGUUUAAUGACUUUGAAGAACUUGUAAUGCCCAUUUCUUGAUACCCUUAAAUUCUAUUUCAAUUUUUUACUAUCUUCAAAAAAUAUAAAAUUCCUCAAAUAUCAGACUCAUAUUUUUAUUUGUUGCACCAUACAGCUUCCAAUACCUCACCAAUACACACACACACACACACACACACACACACACACGUUUGUAGAUCCCAUGCCUUUGAAAGAACUCUACGAAAAGGUAUGCCACUUAUCCAGCCAGAGGAUCUUGGGUAAGUUACUUAGCCUCCCUUUGUCUCAGUUUCUUCAUCUUUAAAAUGGAGUUAUAGUAGUCCCUGACUCACAGGGUUACUGAGAAGAUCAAAUAAGAUAAUACGUAAAGAACUCAGAACACCGCCUGGACCUUGGUAAAUCUACAUGUGACAGCCGUAGCCUGACCCCACGCCAAGCUCAGGAGCAUGACAUGUACCACAGAGUGUUCCUCUGAACUAGUUCGCAUUUUUAACUGACAUGGAGAUCCAAAAAACCAGUCCUCUUAUAUCCUCAUGUGAGUUAAAAAUCCCUAACACUUUGGAACACAUUCCCCCACCUUGCCCACCAACCCCAUGACAGAGGUAAACUGCCAUUCGGCUUGGGGCAAAAAUGCCAUAUUCCCACUGUGUAUACAUUGUGAGAGGAAAAAUAGCAAGUUCAAACCUUUUCUGCCCCUUAGCAUGGUUCUGUUUGACUAGUCCCCCUAAUUUUCAUUUACAGUUAGGUCUCAGUAUGGUUAAUAUCAGGUCUCUGUAGCAUUAGGCCUCUGCAAUGUUAAUACUGUUUAACGAAAUGAUUCUCAUGAGUACCUUGCAAACUGAAUGCUGAUUUGAGGAUUCUAAUUUCCCAGUGUGUAAAUGAGGUCAUAUUAACAGAAAUAGCUCAAAUUUCACUGGGUCAUGAUUCUACUUGUCCUGAACACUCUCAGCUCCUUACCACCUCCCAUGACCAAGGACUCCAAAAAUCUACAGUGGGUAAGUCACAUGUGCUCUCAGUAAAUCUGUCCCUCUGGGCACUAAACCUCCACUGCAAGGUUCCUCUAGAGUUCCCACCAUGAUUUUCCCCAGUGCUCUGCCCAUGCUCUGGGCCUUUGCUGUGGCCCAGAUGUUUUAAUUCUUUUUAAAGACUAAAAUAGUACUUUUAAUUUCACUCACAGUGCUUGUGCUGUGUCAGGAUUCAGACAUGAGUCCAGUGAGGGGUCAGGGCAGAACCAGAAUCCAAAGGAUAGGCAUGAUUGUGUAGGCACAAAUGCCUCACUUCUGCAGUGACUGAGGUUUUCAUAUUGAGUCUGAGAUGGAUAUUUCCUGGGGGCAACUCAGUUUUCAUGCUAAUGCCUGGCUGGUGUUGAAUUCAGCUUUGUAUCCACAAACUAAAUCUGAUUUAAGCCAGAAUCCUGAAGCUGCAAGAGCAAGAAUCAAUGACCAACACACUGGUCCAUAAACAGAAUCAGGUGUAUCCUUUUCCUUAAGGAGGGAGUUACUAAAUGCUUAAGAGUUAACCAAAGAAUAUAGCACUUUGUAGAAAUCCUAAUCAAAGCCUUUGGCUCAACAAAGCCUUGCCUGCUGCUUGUUAUGAAACCAUCUCAUCCCCUCCACUAGAAAGAACCAAGCAACGUGUAAAACUUUUACUUCCCCUCAUAAAAGUGUAUAACAACAUUCAACCACUUUUACACCUUUUCUUCCUAAUACACGAUAUCCAAAAUGAGUUCAUAGGCAGAAAAAUGCCAUGAGGGGAGUUUGGCUUUUUUUUUACCGGCAAGCUUUUUGGAUGUGACAGCCUAGAGCCUUUCUCACUACCACCAACAGAUGGGACACAAUAUCCACCAAUGAGCCAUUAUGGUCUUUGGUUGUUAUUUUUCCUGUGGUUCAGCUGGAACACAUUCAGAAAAAUAAUACACAUUUCUGGGGCAGGUUUGCAUUAUAAUUUUGGAGUGUAAUCCAGACUUUCCCUUGUCUAUUUCCUACUGCAGCAAAAAUGGAGCCUCUCUCUCUAGUUCCAUUUGGACUUCACUGGGAGGAUGCAACUUGGCAAAACACAGCGAUACUGGGCUGCAAAUGGUCCCUGUUACUUCUUGAGAGAAUAGAAAGAUCGUGGCAAACAGGAUAGAAUUAUUUCUGCUUUUGUGGAAUUUAAAUUUUCUUUUAAUUCUUGCAAUCACCCCACAAGGUAAAUUGCUUAUUCCUCAGAGGAAGUUAAGACAGUUUAUGUUACUUGCCAUAGGUAGUCAAGAGAACUAGUAUUCAACCCAGGUCCUCUGAUUCCUUAAGACCAAGGUUCUUUUGACUAUAGCAGAAGUUUUCAAAUAUUUUCAAAAAGUGACGUGCAUUGUUUUAAAUAAAGUUGUAAUUGCCAUAUUUCACCAAUUCUGAUGAACACUUUUUCACAUUUCACCUCACCUGAAAACAAGAAGCAUUUAUUAUGGCUGUUGGCAAGGAAAUUACAGAGAUUAAAUUCUGGUAGCCUGAAUGUUUGCCUCCAUUCUUGCAAAGAUGGUAUCAGUAGCUUGCAAGAAAAUCCCAGAGGUAGUGGUGGAGUGCUCUUUCAGAAAUACUGCCUUACUAAUACUCUCAGUGGCAUAGAGGAUGAUAUUAUCUGGAAAACAUAGACAUUGGAUAGUCAGAUUUCAGAUAUAAAACCUUAAGAAAUUCAUAUUGUUUGCAUGCCUAAACAAGACUAAAAGAGUGCUUUCAGUAAGUAUAACAUUUUUAAAAGCCCAAGUAAUGAAAAAUCAUUGUAGCAUGUUUAUUUUGGCAGUUAUUUUUCUCUUUCUUAAUAAUAUAAUAAAGAUAGUACAUCUUGCCUUCCAUGGAAUCAUAGAUUCAAUGCAAUGUGGCAUAUCUACAACACUUCGGGCUUGACUAAUGAGGUGGAAUUAUACGCACCACCACCUUCACAUCAGGCUCCAACUGGAAUAGCUCUUCAGGGGGCUUGGCACCUCUCCUCUUUCUUGAUGGGUAAAGAUUAGCACUAUCAGAACUUCACUGAAAACUUGAUAAUUGAAAUCAUGUUUUGGCAAUGACUGAAAUAUGUCUAAGGGAUUUGAUAUUGCAUGAGCCACAGAUUCUUGAUACUCAGACCUCCUAAGUCCAUUCCAAACUAUGUCCAAAUGAGAUGGGGUGAAGUAAGAUGUGCAAACUUUAUAGGCACCAGUUGUAGAAUCAGUUCUCUCUGGUUUCAAGUCUAAACUACCUAUUUUUUUUGGCAAUGUGACCUUGGAUAAAUUACUUAAACUUUCUAUGCCUCUGUUUCCCCAACCAUAAAUAUUAAUAGCGCUAAUCUCAUAGGGCUUAGAAUAUUGAAAGAGAAAAUCCCUGUCAAAUACCAAAAAAAAUAACAAUAUUUGUUAAGUAUUCAACAAAUAUUGUGGGGGAGGGAAUGAGCCUAAAAUUAUAGGUUUACCUUUGAGACUUUGCCUCCAAUCUUCCAACAAAAUAUCAUCUAUAAUCUGUUUUCACCAAUGACAGAUAUUUAUUGAGCACUUUUUCUGUGGG
rnacentral:lncRNA from 10 species